AUCGUCAAAAUGUAAACAAACUUUCGCACUAAUUAUUUUGCCAACAUUUUCGUCUUCUGGUCGAAGAAAUGUGCAUAUUGAACCGGUUUCUAGAUGGCAAGACAGAGAAAGAGAGAGAGAGAGAAAGUGGUCCUGGAGAGUCACCCACAAUGCACCGGGACGUCGGCAAUGCAAUGGAAAGAUAGAGGUGGAAGUUCUGGACCUUUUUUCACGUACAAGGAAGCCUCCUGUGGAGCCUAACAUCUAUCCUGCUGGAACCAUAUGAAUCAACUCCAAAAACAGAAGUUGUCCCGAUGGAGAAAGGCGGCGUCGACAGAUGGUGUCGAAAACGCGUUUGUCUGUCAAGGGUACUGACCACAAAGAGACUCACAGUAGAGAAGAUGAUUACAGUCACGUUGAUCCCAAUGACCCAGGAAACUCUGAACUUCUAGCCCACUUACAGAAUGCAGUAGAAGUCGUCUGAAAUCGUGUGUAGUAUGUGUGGCUGAAUUCUAGUCACAUGUAGCCACUGUUGCCCUUUGCGAAGGCACAUGCAACAGCGGCACAUGCAGGCCAAUCUGGCAUUCAAGCUGGAGGAGACUUAGUUCAGGAGGAAAGGAUACCAGCCAUUGGGACAAUCGGAACGUCCUUACAUUCAAUUUUCAAAGCACCCCGACGGCCACUAAGACCUGAAAGGAAGAAGAGGGACCAGGUGGGAGGGACUGACUGCACUAGGAGACCAGAAUGUCUGCCUUAUUGUGCACAUAGCACAGGCAUCAUUCCAUGGUCCCAUUCGUCAUGAACCUGCAGGUCAUAAUACAGCUGAUAAUUGGAUGUCAUAUUUAUUCCCAGAGCCCCAAAUGGCAACUUUCCACCAUCCAGUUAGCAGUCACUGACAGGCUCAGAUCGAGAACAGUGAACCUAAAGAUGUCAUAUCGGCAAGCAGAGAGCAGGAAUCAAGUCUGUCCUCCAAGUAUUCCCAGCGCCUUAUUAGAACGCACAUCCUGGACCUCUCGAGAAGUGAGAGUCCAGGAAUCGCUUCAUCCGGCCACUGAAGCUCCCUGUGGAGUUAAUCAGUAAGUUUAUUAGAAACUGGU